UCUCAUUUCAGACUUCUCAUCUGACUGUACACGCCCACAACCCUCUGCUUGGGUGUUCAUUUUGGCAGGUGUUUCGACCAUACUUGGCAUUGCAGGUCUCUGGGAAAAGCUAAUCUAAUCAGGUAAAGAAAGAUGGGGUUUAUUGUCUACUACCGAGUCAGCGGCUGCAGUCCUUGGUUCCGGUCUCCCAUUGUGGAGUAAGCACUCAGCCCUGGCCACUUACUUGUUCAGGAAUAGGGUAUUGAAGGUCUUUAAUUCUCCAGGAACAACAUCUACAAAAAGGAAGGAAAGAAAAAGAGAGAAGAAGAGGGGGGGAAGUAUUUUACGUACUCCUCCUGUUCCCAUCUUUCACUUUUCAUCCACUCUUGCAGGAAACCUUCUUAAUGAGCCAAAUGGGUGUUUGGGGUUAAAAGUGUUACUCUCAAAGUAUAUUCUACACAUGCAUUUUUCAUUCACUAACUUAAUGUUCUGUGGACUCUUCUCAGUGACUGGAUGGAUAUUGACUCUACUGCUUACCACUCCAUGCAGUGCAAUUGAUCCAUUUUACCCCUCCAUUCUCCAUGAAGGAUGCCAAUCUUCCCACUUCUUGUCAUAGCAGGUGGGGAGAGGGUAGCAAAUGCAGAGGGUGUACCUCCUUUGUUAUUAUUUGUCCUGUUAUGAUUUAGAUAUGAAGCGUCCCCCAAAAACUCAUUUGCUGGAAACAUGACCCAUAACAUAGCAAUGGUCAGAGAUGAAAAGAAUGGAAUAAGAGAGCUGUAACCGCAUGAGUGGAUUUAUCCAUUUGAUGACUUGAAUCUUUGAAUGGACUACUAGGUGGUUACUGUAGGCAGGUUGGUCAUGGUAGGAGGAAGUAGGUCACUCAGGGCAUGUGAUUGGGGAUUGAUUAUAUCUUGAGGAGCAGAGCCCUCCUCAUGUUCCCUCUCUGCUUCCCUGCUCCCAUGAGCUGACAGCUUUCCUCCACCACACCCUUCUACCAUGAUGCUCUGCCUCACCUCAUGCCCAGAACAAUGGACUGAACCUCUGAAAUCAUCAGCUCCCCCAAAACUGUUUCUCCUCUAAGUUGUUCUUAUCAUGUAUUUUGAUCACAGCAAUAAAAAGCUGACUAACAAGUCAC
rnacentral:lncRNA from 1 species